GACGAACGCUGGCGGCGUGCUUAACACAUGCAGGUCGAGCGGUAAGGCCCUUUCGGGGGUACACGAGCGGCGAACGGGUGAGUAACACGUGGGUGACCUGCCCUCAGUUCUGGGAUAAGCCUGGGAAACCGGGUCUAAUACUGGAUAUGACCUCAUGACGCAUGUUGUGGGGUGGAAAGCCUUGUGCGACUGAGGAUGGGCCCGCGGCCUAUCAGCUUGUUGGUGGGGUGAUGGCCUACCAAGGCGACGACGGGUAGCCGGCCUGAGAGGGCGACCGGCCACACUGGGACUGAGACACGGCCCAGACUCCUACGGGAGGCAGCGGUGGGGAAUCUUGCGCAAUGGGCGAAAGCCUGACGCAGCGACGCCGCGUGAGGGAUGACGGCCU
rnacentral:rRNA from 1 species